rnacentral:rRNA from 1 species
CAGGGAAUAUUGCGCAAUGGGCGAAAGCCUGACGCAGCGACACCGCGUGGGGGAAGAAGGCCUUCGGGUUGUAAACCCCUUUUCUCGGGGAAGAGGAAGGACGGUACCCGAGGAAUAAGGUUCGGCUAACUACGUGCCAGCAGCCGCGGUAAUACGUAGGAACCGAGCGUUGUCCGGAAUUAUUGGGCGUAAAGGGCGAGUAGGCGGCAUACUAAGUCUCAUGUGAAAUCUCCCGGCCCAACUGGGAGGAGUGAUGGGAAACUAGUAGGCUUGAGGGCAGCAGAGGAAAGCGGAAUUCCCGGAGUAGUGGUGAAAUGCGUAGAUACCGGGAGGAACACCAGGGGCGAAGGCGGCUUUCUGGGCUGUACCUGACGCUGAGGCGCGAAAGCGUGGGUAGCAAACCGG